UCGCCUCCAAGCUGGUGCAUCCUGGGUAACGCUAAAUGACCUGCGGCCUUCACGGCCUAACAAACUCCCUGGACGACUUUGGCUUUGGACUGGUUUUUGAGAAACUUUUUAUUGGAUUUCGUAGAACCCUGGGCUGGUGGUGGCGGCAUUCUGACACCUGAGUAUGAUGAGGUGACACUCAUCAGAAAUAGCUGACAGGCUAAUGUCGCAACUGCCCCCGUCCCGUUAAAACCCUGGCAGGCCUCAGAGUACGGUCCCCCCCGUCGUCGUUAAGUUGACGUGGUAGGUGUAUGUUGAGAUGACUCCUUCUUUGCGCUGGUCGGCUUUGAACGUAUUGCCUCAUAAGGGCGUACGUCAACCCUCGCCUUGGCCUCAUCAUCGAGACAACCUUGGGACCAUAAAAGGCGACUACCUUUCCGAGGACGGAUAGCGGCUCUGAGUGGAGACCCUUCUUGCAUGGACAAUUUAAACAAUUUAAAAAAUGACGGAAGAGCGACGAAAGGAGGUGAAGGGCUGUCGAAAUCGGCACCUAGAUCCAACCCAGGCGGGUAUGCUGCUCCUAUGGCGACGAAACCGUCGCCGAGAAAUGGCAGCAACACGACAAAGACACCAGUAGGUGUCUCCUCAGGUAGCAGACUGGGGGUAACCGGCGCUAAACCGCCGGCAACAGAAGUAGCGAAGGGGGGAUCCUUCAUACGCGGCGGAAUCGGCAGCACUAGCAGGGGAAGCUCAGCUAGAGUUAUGAAGGGACCCACAGGGGGCAAAAGCAAAGCAGCUUUAGCUAGAAAGCUAAAGUCGGACCGUCGAUUGACGGCCAAAAUCGUGGAACGCUACGGUGACAAGCAUGUUGGCCAGGUUUCUGAGCAACAUGCUAGUACACUUGAGUGGGCCAAGAAAGUGCUGAGCGAAGACAAUAGGGAAGGACCGGAAACCAGCAGGACAGAACCGGCGGUCAAGCGGCAGAGGACGCACGAGGGAGAAACCUCCCUUGUUAAGAAGCCGCGAACAGGAAAGGCGCCAACCUUUAGCGAAAUCGCCAUAGGCUCCUGACGGCCAAGGAUGCAGCGCUGACAUAGUGACAGCGAAAUUGGAGUGCGACACCGGAGAUUUCUGGCUUAUCUCCGCAUACAUGCCACACGAUGAUGUGGUGGAGCCACCUCGCUUACUACUGAGGAGAACCUUAGCCAAAGCGUCUAAGACUGGCACUGACGUCAUCAUCGGUUCCGACGCUAACUCGCGGCAUCAGAUCUGGGGAAGCUCGGAUACUAACAGUAGAGGAUGGAGCACGAUUUGGAGGAACAUUUACUAAACAAUAUGAUGUGGGAUGACGACGACAGUGAAUUCAGAAAUUUUAUUUUUUUUUAAGAAUUUCUAGGGUGUAUUCCUGCUCGAAGUCUUAAAAACAAUUUAUGAGAGCCUUCAACGAGUUUAUUCAAAGAGUAUGUCCGGAAAGUAAUAGGACUGAAUUUCUUCCGCCGCGACUGUACUUCGGAGUGUGCGCGCAUCGACUGGUGUGGCUGGUCAGUUGUCUCCGAGCACUUGGAGAGUCAGAACAAACAUUUUCGAGCGAUGUGUUUCUAUGAGUAGUGCAAGCCAAAAAUGCAGCCAUCGUGUGACACGUUUGCGCAAAGUUUUGAACUCAGACAGCCGACUAAAUAUUUGUUUAAUUGCCCAGAUGUUAGAUUUAUCAAAAUCUGUGGUUCUUGACAUGCACUUAAACAUGCGCAAGGUGUGCGCGAAGAUGAUCCCAAAAGUGCUCACUGACGACCGGAAAUUGCGGCAAGUGGAAGUGUGCCAAGAAAAUGACCCCAAAUUUUUGAAUAACGUAAUCACAGGUGAAGAGCCAUUGAUUUUGAGUAUCUUUAAGGCAAGCAUUUUGAGACGACAGAGGGUAUCCAAGCAGCAUGCACCUCGGCUCUCUAGGCUAUACCGGAGAAUGCCUUCUGUGACGCCCUCAAUGCUUGGAAAUCUCGCUGUCAGCGCUGCAUCGACACAGAGGGAGCCUAUUUUAAAAGUUUUUAAAGGAUUGUAACGACUGGUUCAAUACACUUUUUUAAAUCGACUUAGUUUUAUUACUUUCCGGACAAACCCUUUAUUAAGACUGUGAUAGGUUUUAAAGCAAUCACUUUUUCAAUUGAGCGUGCAUGAAUGAACGUUGGCUUUUUGAACGCAAAUACCUCGAAUAUCCCUAAAGUCUUUGGUUUUACAUCUCCGUUGGUCUUUUGUAUGUUCUAGCUAAUGUUAAAAUCCAUUACAACGCAAAUAAACAGGUGGCGUUGCUUCAUGAUUUUGUCUAGAAGUCGUUGGAGAUGGACUACAUCCAUUCUCCUCUGCCAGAGUUGUUUUGGGAUGACCGCGGUUUUUUUUUUGUGCAUUUCCUGAGCUGAUCGCGCCAAAAGUUCAUCUUAUUGCGAAAUCCAGAAGAAACUGAAAUACCUCUCAGGAAACCGAAAUUUGACAAAGGCGGUAUUCCCGGAAGGCUACUACCUACGUGAAUUUUAAAGGGUGUGACAGGGCCAAUAAACUAAGCAAAAAGAAACGUUAUGGUAAAUAAUCUUGUCAGUAUUUAAGCAAAUUCUACGAUUUAUUCGUUUUGACAAAUGGACUGAAAGAAGUGCACGCAUCCGAAAAAAUAAAUUUGCCUUGGCUUCGGAAAUAUCAACCAGGGCAAAACAUAACAGUUGACGAACAAUUAUUUCGAACAAAAGCUACGUGCAAGUACAAAAUAUGCCUAAUAAAUCGAAUAAAUUUGGCAUCAAAUUCUGAUUUGCAUCAGACAUUACUAGCAGGUAGGUGUUGAAGUUUUUUGUUAGUUUGUUUUUAGUUUGCAAUAUUUCUUUAUUUAUUGAAUCUGCUUUUUGUUUUAAAAGCCUAACAAUAAGUUAUAAAAUCUUAAAUCUAUUUAAAAAACAGACAAACUCAAGCAAGUGAUUAAACUGUUUUAGUGAUACGUUGCUCUUCAGGAGGCAGGCAUAUCUCUUUUUUAGACGUGUUUAAUCGCAGGAAACCAAAAGCAUUAGCCAAAGGGUUUGGGUGAUAUCGCAGUUUAGAUAUAUAUUUAAUUGUACUGUCAUCUACUUAUUUCUUUACCAUAGGAAUGCCAAGAUCUUUAUGGAUAUUUUCAUUCCGCAUGUACCAUAGUGAACACGUGAUUGUUCUAA